rnacentral:rRNA from 1 species
UGGGGAAUAUUGCGCAAUGGGCGAAAGCCUGACGCAGCGACGCCGCGUGAGGGAAGAAGGCCUUCGGGUCGUAAACCUCUGUCUAGAGGCAAGAAACCAUUGAGGUCGAACAGGCCUCUUUGCUGACGGUACCUCUGAAGGAAGCACCGGCUAACUCCGUGCCAGCAGCCGCGGUAAUACGGAGGGUGCGAGCGUUAAUCGGAAUCACUGGGCGUAAAGCGCACGGAGGCGGUGUCGUAAGUCGGAUGUGAAAGCCCUCGGCUCAACCGGGGAACUGCAUGCGAUACUGCGAUGCUUGAGUGCCGGAGAGGGUGGCGGAAUUCCAGGUGUAGGAGUGAAAUCCGUAGAUAGCGGGAGGAACACCAGUGGCGAAGGCGGUUUCCUGGUCUGAUACUGACGCUGAGGCGCGAAAGUGUGGGGAGCAAACA